rnacentral:misc_RNA from 1 species
UCCAGCUAUUCGCCGGCAGUCCCCCUAGAGUUCCCAGCUUAACCUGAUGGCAACUAAGGGCAAAGGUUGCGCUCGUUGCGGGACUUAACCCAACACUUCACAGCACGAGCUGACGACAGCCAUGCAGCACCUGUACAAUUGUCUCUUGCGAGAAGAUCCACUUUCAUGGACUGGCAACUGCUUUUCAAACCUGGGUAAGGUUCUUCGCGUAGCCUCGAAUUAAACCACAUGCUCCACCGCUUGUGCGGGUCCCCGUCAAUUUCUUUGAGUUUCAGUCUUGCGACCGUACUCCCCAGGUGGUGGAUUUAAUGCGUUAGCGUCGGCGCUUGAGGGAUCGACACCCCAAACACCUAAUCCACAUCGUUUACGGCAAGGACUAC